GAACGCGAAGAACCUUACCAAGUCUUGACAUCCUUUGACCACUCUAGAGAUAGAGCUUUCCCUUCGGGGACAAAGUGACAGGUGGUGCAUGGUUGUCGUCAGCUCGUGUCGUGAGAUGUUGGGUUAAGUCCCGCAACGAGCGCAACCCUUAUUACUAGUUGCCAACAUUGAGUUGGGCACUCUAGUGAGACUGCCGGUGACAAACCGGAGGAAGGUGGGGAUGACGUCAAAUCAUCAUGCCCCUUAUGACUUGGGCUACACACGUGCUACAAUGGAUGGUACAACGAGCAGCGAACUCGCGAGGGUAAGCGAAUCUCUUAAAGCCAUUCUCAGUUCGGAUUGUAGGCUGCAACUCGCCUACAUGAAGCCGGAAUCGCUAGUAAUCGCGGAUCAGCACGCCGCCGGUGAAUACGUUCCCGGGUCUUGUACACACC
rnacentral:rRNA from 1 species